rnacentral:pre_miRNA from 1 species
UAACUACUCCCUCCGUCCCAAAAUUCUUGUCUUAGAAUUGUCUAAAUACGGAUGUAUCAAGUCAUGUUUUAGUAUUAGAUACAUCCGUAUCUAGACAAAUCUAAGACAAGAAUUUUGGGACCGAGGGAGUACUUC